CUCUCCCGCCCCUGUUUUCACUCUCCCCGCCAACCGACUCAGUUGAAGACAUUCUUAUGCCUUCAGGAAUGGAGAAAACGGUAGAUUUUGGGCAGUUCUUCAAGGAAGGCUAUUGUAAUAAGCCAGAUAUUCGGAAACCCCACCAAACAAUCGAAGUUGAAAAUAAUCAGGAGGAAGGCAGUAGCAGUAAUUCCAACGACAAGGAAAAAACCGAAGACGAUGAAUGGAUUGGUGGUGUUUUCGAAUUCUCCGAAGAAGGUUAAUUGCUUCUUGUGCAUUAAGUUAUUAAAAGAGAUGGAGGAUUUAUGGGCUGGGUUUUGUGGAGCAUAUAAUUGUUCAGACGGUAAUGGAAUGGGGUGUGGUGAUGAUUUAGCAUUUAAAUCUCUCCCUUUAUGUGUAUUAAUCAUUCAUUGACAGUUUGUUGUGAUGUUCUGCUCUUAUUCAUGCUCCUGUUCAAUAUGUUCUACAAAACAUCGUUAAAAUCUCAGAAGACGAUUGCCUCGGUUUUUGGCAUAUCAAAUUUGCGGCUAAUUUCAGAAAUUUAUAAUGGUCUCCUAGGAUUGAUUUAUUUGUCUUUGGGAAUUUGGAUUUUAGAAGAAAGGUUGAGGAACACUCGAACUCUUCUACCUCUACAUUGGUGGCCCAUGUUCUUGCUUCAUGGACUAAUAUGGUUGUUAGUUAGUUUAACUGUGAGCCUUAGGGGACAGUAUUUUUCAAGAGUUCCUCUGAGACUGUUAUCCAUUCUAGCUUUCAUAUUUGCCGAAAUUACUUGUGCUGCAUCCAUUUUAUUGCUGUUAUUAGAAAGAAGCUGUUGAUUAAGAUAGUUUUAGAUGUUCUGUCUUUAGUUGGAUCUAGUUUGUUGUUGUUUUGUACUUAUACAAGCUACAGAUAUGAAGAUAAUGAUGAAAAUGAUCUUUACGCUCCACUGGUUGGUGCUGAAAAUGGCGCCUGUAAAACUCAUUCCGUCAGUGAUGUCACUCUAUUUGCAAAAGCCGGAUUUUUCAGUAAACUGUCAUUUUGGUGGUUGAAUCCACUGAUGAAAAGGGGAAGGGAGAAAACUCUUGCGGACGAGGAUAUACCGAAGUUGGGCAAGGAUGAUCGAGCACAGUGGGCGAGGAUGAUCGAGCACAGUCGUCUUACUUGCUAUUCACAGAGAUUUUUAACAGACAAAAACAUACCAAUCCAUCAGUCGAACCCUCAAUCUUAAAGACUAUCCUUAUAUGCUACUGGAAAGAGAUCUUCGUGUCUGGGUUUUUUGCACUGCUAAAGAUUCAAACUUGUUCCGAGUUUUUUGAGGACAAGCUUCUCUGUGGCGAUUAUGAAGGUUGAAUUUACCCAUUGCAUUCAAAAGAUAGGUGCAGGCCAAGAAGAAAGUAACGGGAAGGAUUUUUUAGAGCUAUCCAAUCCAACGGUUUGAAGACAACAAGUUGUAAAUUAUCUUUUUUUAUACAAUAAUUUUCUGUUGUUUAAGAGGAGUGUAAGAUGAUUUUUAUUUGAUGGGCAAUAUGUAAUUCAAAAUUUUUCUUUGAUUUAUUACAAUGAUGUGUUUUGAUUA